GACAGAGGUCCCGAGCGUUAGGCGGAAUCACUGGGCUUAAAGCGUGUGUAGGCGGAUCGUUAAGUGCCUUGUGAAAUCCCAUGGCUCAACCCUGGACCUGCAUUCGAUACGGGCAGACUAGAGUUCGGCAGGGGAGACUGGAAGUUCCUGGUGAUAGCGGUGAAAUGCGCAGAUAUCAGGAGGAACACCGGUGGCGAAGGCGGGUCUC
rnacentral:rRNA from 1 species